AGAUAAUACAAAGCAUUUUGAUAGUAGCACAACUCAGUACGAGAGGAACCGUUGUGUCGCGCCACUGGAUUAUUCAAUUAUUUGAUAAAGUAGUGUUGAGAAUCUAACACGCGUUGAAAUAAUGGCUGAAAGCCUCUCAAGCCAGAAUUUCGGCUAGAUGAAUGCUUUGACUUUUCUAGUUGGCUUAGGUAUAAGGGAAGAAUACUUAUUUACGCAGUGUAUUUAUUUCUUUAUCGCGAGGGUAGAGGAUAAUAGCACAACAGUAAUGUAGGCAUAACUGACGCUU
rnacentral:rRNA from 1 species